UUUAGGUGACCCAGAAAGGCUGGAGCAGUAGAUGCUGAACAUGAGCAGGAGGAAUUGGCUCCUUGCACAAUAUGGCGACCGAAGUUGAGUGUGUGGGCCAGUAUUUCUGGUCAAAACUUCCGCCGGCGUCAAUUUGAAAGCGAGAGCGGGAGAACAGGGACAUUGCAUAGCAGAGCAGGGAGAUACUUUCUCACGAUGAGUUUUUAAGGUUCAAGAGAGACGACUUGUCCUUCAGAGGGGAAGAACAUGCCCGAAGGACACUGCUGUGCCUACCAUCUUUUCUUUCUGCAAGGGCAAAGAAGAACAGCUAACAGAAUAAAGUGUGAGAAUGAAAAAGAAGAAAAAGACAGUGUUUUCAGAAAAUAUGAAGCAAUUUGCAACCACACUGCAUUUCUACUCUCCGAAGGGAUCUGACGAAGUCAUAUCCCUGUAAAUGAAGUGGCAGUUAAUCCAUUUACAGCUUUAAAAAGUCAUGUUGCUGAGAAGAAGCUGGAAGGGAAAGAGACAUUUUUCUCAUUGAUGAUGGUUGAAAUGUACAUCCGUAAGCAAACUGAGUUUGAUGGGGACCAAAUUCACACUGAGGAGCUCCACAAGUUUCAGGAGAAGGAAGGCUUGCGUCUUGGGAACAAAUUAAAAAUUGCACACAUUCAGUGGCAAAAUCAAAAAAUUAAGGUCCAUCUUGCAGCCCAGCUCUU